GGGGAUUUAGCUCAGUUGGCAAAGUGCUUGCCUCACAGGCAUGAGGCCCUGGUUCAAUCCCCA
rnacentral:tRNA from 1 species